AAAAAAAAAGAAACUCAUGCUCUUUUUGGUCCCCUGUCCGUUCUCCACCUGCAGCUCUCAGCGGUGACAUCAUGGAUUACCUCACCAUGAGAACAUGUUCACCAGGGACGUGGCCUACAUGCCGACACUGGACUCCAUCCCGGGUCACCGUAGAUGGUUGCAGCUUGUCGCAUCUCAAUCCCUCCUUGCAGGAAGCUUCGCUGCACGGCGGGCAUAAAUCACAGGGAGUAGGUGGACUCGCUUGUCACUGAUUCACAUGACCUCAGAGUGACUGUUACAGCGGGAGUUGUCUUUUGACAGAGUCGGCGUUCGCUCUAUGAAAAAGUCCCUUUCUAAAUGUCACGUACUGCAGCAGGAGGAACAUGCGGCUACGUGUUUCAUAUUUAAGACAGAGGCCUGUCGUAGCGGCAUCUCUGUGUUCACCACAUCUCAGCAAUUACUGCGUAAGUAUGUUGUCCAACUAUCCAACCCUGAUAAUGGAGCGAAUCGUUCCGCAUCGAUCCACGCAGCAGCAUCGCCGCCGCCGCUGCUGCUGCCGUCGUCGUGGUAAUCAUCCGUUUGUGUGGUGAAAUCCUCCUGAAUGUGACAGCACUGUUGUCUGUUAGCGACCAAGCGACAGGUCCAGUCAACCUCUCUGACAUGUCGUGGUUGCCUCGAG